CCCGGUGAUAUAAUUUAACGGCCGCGGUAUACUGACCGUGCGAAGGUAGCAUAAUCACUUGUUCUUUAAAUGGGGACUAGUAUGAAUGGCACCACGAGGGCUUUACUGUCUCCUUUCUUCAAUCAGUGAAACUGACCUCCCUGUGAAGAGGCAGGGAUACUACUAUAAGACGAGAAGACCCCAUGGAGCUUUAAACCCAACAACAGCCCAAACACCUACCCCCUCAAAGUUUUUAAAGUUUUGUUAGUUGGUUUUAGGUUGGGGUGACCGCGGAGUACAAACCACCCUCCACGACGAAUGGGCCUACCCCCUUACCCAAGAAUUACACCUCUAAGGAUUAACACAUUAACGUAAAAUGAUCCAAAUAUUUGAUCAACGAACCAAGUUACCCUGGGGAUAACAGCGCAAUCCAUUUUUAGAGCCCCUAUCGACAAAUGGGUUUACGACCUCGAUGUUGGAUCAGGGUAUCCCGGAGGUGCAGCCGCUUCCAAUGGUUUGUUUGUUCAACAAUUAAAACCCUACGUGAUC
rnacentral:rRNA from 1 species